AAUUAUUUCUAAUUUAUCCAUUUUUAUUGGAAUUCAUUAUUUCCUUUUUCAUAAGAAAGCUAUAUAUAUAUAUAUAUUUGUUUUAUAGGUGAUGUUUGCGUAUCUUUGAAUUAGUCUAAAACUGCAAAUUUUCAUAUUUGUUUGAAAACCUUGUUAUAUAUUUUAUAUUACUCGUGGGAAAACCAUUCAAAAUAAAUUCAACUGUUAUUUAGUUGAAGGAUUUAUUCACUACUUUAUUUCUUGAUAAUCAAGGUGGUGGAGCGUACCGGAGACUUGGGGGCAUGGCCCCUUCCUAAAAUGGAUGUUGAUGGAAAUUGGCACGUUGGAGCGUUGGCAUCAUUACUCGACCUCGUCGGAGCCAUUACUACUUUUUCAUAUGCCAAUUGUGUCUCUACUGUAGCUGAUUUCAACGCUUCAUAUUAUUCAACAGAACAUGUAGAGAUAGAAUCAAGGGUUAUGGCAGACAAAGGGAAACUUAUACAUGUGGUGGUUCAAGUUAGAAAGAAAGGAAAUGGAGAGGUAAUUGCUGUAGGUAACCUAUGGAUGGCUUCAAAUAACCUCACUAUUGCUCAAAUGAGUAAUCUUUGAUCACUUAAACCAUGUUAACUAAGAUAAAUGAUAAUUAAUAUGUGUUGGUUAUGGUUAUCAUCUCUUGGAUAUCAAAUAAACAUGUACUAUCUUUUGAA